rnacentral:rRNA from 1 species
GAACCUGAGAGUUUGAUCUUGGCUCAGGACGAACGCUGGCGGCGUGCUUAACACAUGCAAGUCGAGCGGUAAGGCCCUUUCGGGGGUACACGAGCGGCGAACGGGUGAGUAACACGUGGGUGACCUGCCCUCAGCUCUGGGAUAAGCCUGGGAAACCGGGUCUAAUACCGGAUAUGACUCCAUGACGCAUGUUGUGGGGUGGAAAGCCUUGUGCGGCUGAGGAUGGGGCCCGCGGCCUAUCAGCUUGUUGGUGGGGUGAUGGCCUACCAAGGCGACGACGGGUAGCCGGCCUGAGAGGGCGACCGGCCACACUGGGACUGAGACACGGCCCAGACUCCUACGGGAGGCAGCAGUGGGGAAUCUUGCGCAAUGGGCGAAAGCCUGACCCAGCAACGCCGCGUGAAGGAUGAAGUAUUUCGGUAUGUAAACUUCGAAAGAAUAGGAAGAAUAAAUGACGGUACUAUUUAUAAGGUCCGGCUAACUACGUGCCAGCCGCCGCGGUAA